rnacentral:rRNA from 1 species
GACGAACGCUGGCGGCGCGCCUAACACAUGCAAGUCGAACGGAGCUUAGAGAGCUUGCUUUUUAAGCUUAGUGGCGAACGGGUGAGUAACGCGUGAGUAACCUGCCCUAGAGUGGGGGACAACAGUUGGAAACGACUGCUAAUACCGCAUAAGCCCACGGUACCGCAUGGUACUGAGGGAAAAGGAUUUAUUCGCUUUAGGAUGGACUCGCGUCCAAUUAGCUAGUUGGUGAGGUAACGGCCCACCAAGGCGACGAUUGGUAGCCGGACUGAGAGGUUGAACGGCCACAUUGGGACUGAGACACGGCCCAGACUCCUACGGGAGGCAGCAGUGGGGGAUAUUGCACAAUGGGGGAAACCCUGAUGCAGCGACGCCGCGUGGAGGAAGAAGGUUUUCGGAUUGUAAACUCCUGUCGUUAGGGACGAUAAUGACGGUACCUAACAAGAAAGCACCGGCUAACUACGUGCCAGCAGCCGCGGUAAAACGUAGGGUGCAAGCGUUGUCCGGAAUUACUGGGUGUAAAGGGAGCGCAGCGGGAAGACAGUUGGAAGUGAAAACCAUGGGCUCAACCCAUGAAUUGCUUUCAAACUGUUUUUCUUGAGUAGUGCAGAGGUAGAUGGAAUUCCCGGUGUAGCGGUGGAAUGCGUAGAUAUCGGGAGGAACACCAGUGGCGAAGGCGGUCUACUGGGCACCAACUGACGCUGAGGCUCGAAAGCAUGGGUAGCAAACAGGAUUAGAUACCCUGGUAGUCCAUGCCGUAAACGAUGAUUACUAGGUGUUGGGGGAUUGACCCCCUCAGUGCCGCAGUUAACACAAUAAGUAAUCCACCUGGGGAGUACGACCGCAAGGUUGAAACUCAAAGGAAUUGACGGGGGCCCGCACAAGCAGUGGAGUAUGUGGUUUAAUUCGAAGCAACGCGAAGAACCUUACCAGGUCUUGACAUCCGAUGCAUAGCACAGAGAUGUGUGAAAUCCUUCGGGACAUCGAGACAGGUGGUGCAUGGUUGUCGUCAGCUCGUGUCGUGAGAUGUUGGGUUAAGUCCCGCAACGAGCGCAACCCUUAUUGCCAGUUACUACGUUAAGAGGACUCUGGCGAGACUGCCGUUGACAAAACGGAGGAAGGUGGGGAUGACGUCAAAUCAUCAUGCCCUUUAUGACCUGGGCUACACACGUACUACAAUGGCGUUAAACAAAGAGAAGCAAGACCGCGAGGUGGAGCAAAACUCAAAAACAACGUCUCAGUUCAGAUUGCAGGCUGCAACUCGCCUGCAUGAAGUCGGAAUUGCUAGUAAUCGCGGAUCAGCAUGCCGCGGUGAAUACGUUCCCGGGCCU